rnacentral:rRNA from 1 species
UACGUAGGGGGCUAGCGUUGCUCGGAAUUACUGGGCGUAAAGGGCGCGUAGGCGGGUCGUUAAGUUGGGGGUGAAAGCCCAGGGCUCAACCCUGGAAUUGCCUUCAAUACUGGCGACCUUGAGUAUGGCAGAGGUGUGUGGAACUCCGAGUGUAGAGGUGAAAUUCGUAGAUAUUCGGAAGAACACCAGUGGCGAAGGCGACACACUGGGCCAUUACUGACGCUGAGGCGCGAAAGCGUGGGGAGCAAACAGG